rnacentral:rRNA from 1 species
CAAUAGCGUAUAUUAAAGUUGUUGCAGUUAAAAAGCUCGUAGUUGGAUUUCGGGGUGGCCUGCCUGGUCCACCGCAAGGUGAGUACUGGUCAGCCGCCCUUCCUCUCGAAAGCCCCGACUGCUCUUCAUUGCAGUGGUCGGGUAGUUCGGGACGUUUACUUUGAAAAAAUUAGAGUGUUCAAGGCAGGCUAUCGCCUGAAUACAUUAGCAUGGAAUAAUGGAAGAGGACCUCGGUCCUAUUUUGUUGGUUUCUAGGGCCGAAGUAAUGAUUAAGAGGGACAGUUGGGGGCAUUCGUAUUUAAUUGUCAGAGGUGAAAUUCCUGGAUUUAUGAAAGACGAACUAGUGCGAAAGCAUUUGCCAAGGAUGUUUUCAUUAA